AGCAGAACCCAGAGAUGUUCAAACAGACGGCCAGACUCUGGUCUCAUGUGUACGCCGGCGCCCCCUCCUCCAGUCCAGAGUACACCCGCAAAAUAGACAAACUCUGUGGCAUAGGCUUCGACAAAAAUGCAGUAAUAGUGGCGUUGUCGUCGAAAUCCUGGGACGUGGAGACUGCGACAGAGCUACUGCUCAGUAACUGAGUCUCAAUGGCCCCCUGGUCCCAAACCACCCAUCACACCACCUCACCCGGCCCCCAUCUGACUCCUCUAUACACACCCUCUCCCUUCAGUCUCCCUCCAUCUGAAGCACCCUCCUCUGUUCCUCUGACCCCUUACCUCCACACCUGUUGGAUACCCCCUCUCAACCUACUGGCACUUCUCCCCUUAGUCAUAAUCACCAUCGUCUCUGCUCUGUACCA